rnacentral:tRNA from 1 species
GCCGAUGUGGACCCAAAGGUCGGGCACCCGAUUGUCUAUCGGAGGUAUGAGGGUUCGAGUCCCUUCUUCGGCGCCA